CUCCGCCCGCGCGCCCUGCAGACGUGUUUCGGCCCUGAGGACCCGGGGUCUGGGGUCCUUUCCGGAUAGCUGUGAAGGAGGCAGGGAGCAGAAGCUGCAGCCAGCAAGUGUAGCUGAAGGUAUCUGAGCCUGCCAGGGACCUUGCAGAAGAGGGAGACCAGAAGGAUGGCCUACCUGGACCUCGGGAGAGCUGCUGCUUGUGGUCCAUUUUUGUAGCAGGAUGACGGUGUUUUACCAGUGAGAGAGUGAAGUUUGCUCCAUAAAGUCUGAACCCAUCACAGUAGGACCUGUAGGCCACACAACUGUGUCAAAGAAUAAAACCUCACGUAAAGAGAACAGAGUUCUUGGCCCUGGCCAAUCCCUGCCCUGUGGGCCUUCGGCAAGUGGAAGGACCUAACCAGUCACUCAAACCUGCUGAGCCUGAGCCUUGCCUCUGCUUUUCCAAAGAGAAUGGACCAAGACUUGAAAGACUCAAGCAGGGGCUCUGUGCAGCAUUAAGAGCUGACCAGAGAUAUCCUGACCAGGCCACUGCACAGUUGCGGGGAAGGAGUGGCCCCAAUCCUUGGAGGACAUGCUGGGGUCUCCUAAAGGACUGAAGGCCUUCUCUCCUCCAGGAACAUGCUUCAGGUGAGCUCCCAGUGGACCUGGGCCUGCUCCUGCCCACCUGCAGGCCCUUCUCAGCAGCGGUCUCUGGGAACCUCAUUUAACAAUGGCUCUUAUACCCACCUUCCCCACCAUGUUCCAAGCGAGUGUUUGUCUUCUUUGAGCUGGACACUCCAGAGGGCCAGCACAGCAAUCCCAGUGACUCUUGGUGGGGCCAACUGGACUGUGGACAUGGAACUAAGAAGCUGCCAGCCCAUGGUGGAGAGGCUCCUGCUCCUAGCUUUCAGGUAGAUUGGGGCCCUGCUUUAUCAGGCAGAUCCCAUGGGCAGCCCAGAUAGAUGGGAGGGCAGACCAUACCCCUGCAGGCAGAAACUCAGCCUCUGAUGUGUCCAUGAUCCCAAAUUUCUAUUUCAGUUCUACCCAGGAGUCCUGGGCCAGAGGCUCUGGUACUUGGAGCCCUCCUGUUCACUCUACCCACUGAGGACAAAGCCCCAUUGCAGGCCAGGUUAUAUCCCUUUAAGUUACCAGCUCUGGGAAGAGUGGAAGCUGAGCAGUCAGCAGAACCCAGUGGGGCAUGUAGAUUAGUGGUUGAGGGCUUGCCUUGCAUGUAUUAGGCCUGAGUUUGACCCAAAA